CCGCCGCCCGCUCAGCGCGGCCCCGGUGGAAAGUCACAGCAGCGCGCCCGGAAGGACGGUCUGCAAGGUCUGCACGGUUUGCACGAGGAAGGUGGCUACCCCGGGCAGGCUCCGGCUCUGAGGGAUUUACAGCUAGCCUCGUAAACACCGCGCCCGAGCCCUCCAGGGACCCCAGAGGCACAAGCAGCUCGGGGCUUCCUGCGGGGGGCGCUGCGACCCAAAAUGCCCGGGUGCAAAACAAGUCCCAGUAGCAACUUCCGAUGCCGCCCUGGGACAGAAAGCUGCGGGUCUCACGGGCCCCGCUCGGGGCGCCCGGGUUCUCGUGCACUUUGCAGGGUGGGGGUGGAGCUGUGCUGAUUUUCACCGAGAGCACGCCACUUCCGGUGCCCCACGCAUUAUUUCGGCGCCAUAUUGUUUCCCAGACCGGCCUCCAGAUUUGGUUGAAUGAAGCUGGCAUAGACAGGAAAGUUAUGAGGUGUGGAGUUUCGCUCCCGUGUCCUGUGGUGACGUAAGCGUGGACCUCCGGCUCUGGGCAAGAGUGUCUCCAAGUUUUGCUGGCCUCAUCAGCAGCAUGGGGAAGAGGGGCUGCGCAGUUUGCAUCCCCACCGGCUGUGAGCGAGAGUUCCUGUUUCUCCACGUCGUCCCCAGCAGUUGGUGUUCUCAGUGCUUCCAGAUUCUGGCCGUUCUCACAGUGACAGACACACGACGGCCACCACCAGAACUGAGUAUGGGCCUCGUUCCUGAGUUCCUUAUUUCUGAAAUGAGGAUGAGAGCUUCCCGCAGGCAAAGCACGUCUGUCCUGUCUGCUACAGUGGGCUCAGUGGGGAGAAAGUUCUAUGAGAGCUGCUCCUUGACUUUACCUUUGGUCCACAAAGACCCCGUAGGAUUUUUACAUUUGUCUUAGGAAAGUCUGAACACGCCUGCCAGAUGGUUGACAGUGAGCCCCCACAAGACACAGAAUGGGGGCUUGGUGUGGUCCCGGUCCCUGCACGGGGCACACAAAAGUUGCCAAGUGGGUAUUGCAAGUUUUGAGGGACUUCAAAUAUCUCAGAGAAAAGAUGUGUAACUGCACAUAGUCACGAAGAUAAUGAGUUCAUGGCUUACUCACUUCUCUUCACCCGGAAAAAUAAUGUACGCUAAAUGCUGUGUUUUUAAUCUGGGCCAAUACUUGGCUGAAAGCUCUCUGGGUCUUAUCCUACUUGAUUCUACACACAGUCCUAAUAUAUAGGCUGUUACUGGCACCCUUGUUUUAGAGAGAGGGAUGCUUUCCACAGAAAGGGGAAGCUGCUGACAUCACGGACCUCACGAGGAAGGGAGCAGGGAUUCAAACCCAGGGAGACCGACUGAAUGCCGAUAUACUAACGACCAGACUAGACUUUGAGGGAUUUGCCCCCUUCCCCCCAGGGAGGGUGGUGUGGGUCUUGAGGACCUUUCAGGAUCGCACCCUACUCAUCCAGGAUUCUCCUCAAACAAUCCACAGGUUCCAAGCUCCCACUGGCAAAGCACCAGGAACGAGUUACAAAGUGUGCUGAACUACCCAUGGAGGGGCCACAUCUGAUCUUCAGAGCAAGCCUCUGCCCCUUCCUCCCACCGGGUUCCAAUAUCCAAGAGUCAGACCUUAUGUUUCCAGCCCCUGGUGCGUAGAGGUGCUUGAUUAAAUCUUUUGAUAAGAAUUAA